CUGCGAAUGGCUCGGUAAAACAGCAAUAAUUUCUUCGGUGAAUGAUUUACUCAACGGAUAACCGUAGUAAUUCUAGAGCUAAUACGUGACCACUCAAGGUGACAGGCGCAUACUGUGUGUAAAAGCACAAGCACCGUCACCAGGCCGUUUAGAUAACAACACCAACAUAUGGUGAUUCAUAAACGUCUUUCUGAUCGUUCGUGAGAACGACGCACCGUUCAAAUUUCUGACCUAUCAACUUUCGAUGGUAAGGUAGUGUCUUACCAUGGUGGCAACGGGUAACGGACCGUGGGUGCGGGACUCCGGAGAGGGAGCCUGAGAAACGGCUACCACAUCCAAGGAAGGCAGCAGGCGCGCAACUUACCCAAUCCAGACUCUGGGAGGUAGUGACAAGAAAUAUCAAUAGGGGAUCCUAUGGGUCUUCUAAUUGGAAUGAGAACAAGCUAAACAGCUUAUCGAGAAUCCAGCAGAGGGCAAGUCUGGUGCCAGCAGCCGCGGUAAUUCCAGCU
rnacentral:rRNA from 1 species